CAUACACACACACACCCUCUCUCUGCUCCAUGAGGCAGCAGUCGCUGAGCAGCUCUGGAUAGACCACGCGAGGUUCUGCAGGUGUCCCACCCUUCUCUUGAGGCAAGGAUGCUCCAGAAGUGACAGAAUAAGGAGAAUGGUUGAGAAAGAAGGGGAUGCAAAGGGAAAUUCAACAAAGCACUCCAGGACACGCUCUACAGCAAGAUGCCGCGACUGCAUGUGUUUGGUAUGGUCAGAGGCUGAAAGCUGGUCAGUGGGUGACCUGCGCGGGAUGCCUGGGUGACAUCUGACCUCUGACUGGGCGUGCGGAUUGACCCUGGAGGACAAGGUCCGACAAUGCGAGGCACGUGCCAUGGCCUAAUCUCCAUGGUAACGUAAGACCUUUCAGGGAACGGUGGGGAGCAGGGUCAGGGUUGUCUUUAUGUUGAUUGUUGUAAGACAUCUGCUGUCGAUUGACUCGCUGAAUGUAUGACGCCCCCAGUGCAAAACGGCUUUUAUACGACAGCCAGGGCCCGGGCAAGGAAGCUAAAGGCUAACUGGGUAAUCUCUGCAGGCAACUGUGAUUAUGCAUUUUGUUCUCACAAUCACCUGGAGAGAUUCUGCAGUUUGCCUUGCACUCGGUUUUCCAGAGGUUUUUUUAAAUUUUUUUUAUCUUACAGUUCAUUUAUAAAAUUAGAAAAAUGCGUUGUUACCUAAACUGACUAAAUAUGUGAUUCUGUGAUCAAAAAGUGGUUUGGUUUUCUGUCUUAAUAAAGGAGUCUUUUAAAACAU